CUACGGGACGCGCCAGUGGGGAAUUUUGCGCAAUGGGGGAAACCCUGACGCAGCAAUACCGCGUGAGUGAAGAAGGCCUUUGGGUCGUAAAGCUCUUUUCUUGGGGAAGAUAGUGACGGUACCCAAGGAAUAAGCACCGGCUAACUCCGUGCCAGCAGCCGCGGUAAUACGGAGGGUGCAAGCGUUGUUCGGAUUUACUGGGCGUAAAGGGCACGUAGGCGGCACAGCAAGUUAAGGGUGAAAUCCCGGGGCUCAACUCCGGAACUGCUCUUAAAACUGCUGAGCUAGAGAUAGUCAGAGGCGGGUGGAAUUCCAGGUGUAGAGGUGAAAUUCGUAGAUAUCUGGAGGAACGCCGGUGGCGAAGGCGGCCCGCUGGGGCUAUUCUGACGCUAAGGUGCGAAAGCGUGGGGAGCAAACGGGAUUAGAUACCCGAGUAGUC
rnacentral:rRNA from 1 species